rnacentral:tRNA from 1 species
GGAAGGGUGGCCGAGUGGUUUAAGGCGUCCGUUUGAUAAGCGGAUAGACUCCAUGAGUCUCGAGGGUUCGAAUCCCUUCCCUAUACACCG